AUCACAGAGCGUCUGAACCACCUGAUCCCAUCCCGAACUCAGAAGUGAAAAGUCGCAUCGCCGAUGGUAGUGUGGGAGUUCCCAUGUGAGAGUAGGUCGUUAUCAAGAUU
rnacentral:rRNA from 1 species